AAAGCGUGCGCAGGCGGUUUUUGUAAGUCUGAUGUGAAAUCCCCGGGCUCAACCUGGGAAUUGCAUUGGAGACUGCAAGGCUAGAAUCUGGCAGAGGGGGGUAGAAUUCCACGUGUAGCAGUGAAAUGCGUAGAUAUGUGGAGGAACACCGAUGGCGAAGGCAGCCCCCUGGGUCAAGAUUGACGCUCAUGCACGAAAGCGUGGGGAGCAAACAGGAUUAGAUACCCAGU
rnacentral:rRNA from 1 species